CGGGUGGAUGUCGAGGACAUCCUCGAUGUGAUCUUCCGUGAGUUCUGCAUCGGCAAGUAAAUGGAAAGUAGGCCAUUGGCCUAUGGCGGGGUCCAGGUGGGCCUGGCCCUGUUUCACGUGAAACAAGUCUGCCCGCCCCGGUGUUUCACGUGAAACACUCCUGAUCGAUUUCCGUCGUUGAGCUUUUGCAUCAAAGCGGUAGAAGUCUGCGCAU
rnacentral:misc_RNA from 1 species